GUUGUAUGGUUAAGUGACUAAGCGUACAUGGUGGAUGCCUUGGCAGUCAGAGGCGAUGAAGGACGUACUAACCUGCGAUAAGCCGUGAGCAGUCGGUAAGAGACAUUACGACUCACGGAUUUCCGAAUGGGGAAACCCACCCAAGAUAACUUGGGUAUCGUUACAUGAAUACAUAGUGUAACGAGGCGAACCGGGAGAACUGAAACAUCUAAGUACCCCGAGGAAAAGAAAUCAACCGAGAUUCCCUCAGUAGCGGCGAGCGAACGGGGAUUAGCCCUUAAGCAUCUUGGAAGUUAGUGGAACGGUCCUGGAAAGGCCGGCGAUACAGGGUGAUAGCCCCGUACACGAAAACAACCUUGAUGUGAAAUCGAGUAGGGCGGGACACGUGACAUCCUGUCUGAAUAUGGGGGGACCAUCCUCCAAGGCUAAAUACUCCUGACUGACCGAUAGUGAACCAGUACCGUGAGGGAAAGGCGAAAAGAACCCCUGUGAGGGGAGUGAAAUAGAACCUGAAACCGUGUACGUACAAGCAGUGGGAGCCCUUCGGGGUGACUGCGUACCUUUUGUAUAAUGGGUCAGCGACUUACAUUUUGUAGCGAGGUUAACCGUAUAGGGGAGCCGUAGGGAAACCGAGUCUUAACUGGGCGUCUAGUUGCAAGGUGUAGACCCGAAACCGGGUGAUCUAGCCAUGGGCAGGUUGAAGGUUGAGUAACAUCAACUGGAGGACCGAACCCACUAACGUUGCAAAGUUAGGGGAUGACCUGUGGCUGGGGGUGAAAGGCCAAUCAAACUCGGAGAUAGCUGGUUCUCCCCGAAAGCUAUUUAGGUAGCGCCUCGGACGAAUACUACUGGGGGUAGAGCACUGUUUGGGCUAGGGGGUCAUCCCGACUUACCAACCCCAUGCAAACUCCGAAUACCAGUAAGUAAUAUCCGGGAGACACACGGCGGGUGCUAACGUCCGUCGUGAAGAGGGAAACAACCCAGACCGCCGGCUAAGGUCCCAAAGUUCUGGUUAAGUGGGAAACGAUGUGGGAAGGCUCAGACAGCUAGGAUGUUGGCUUAGAAGCAGCCAUCAUUUAAAGAAAGCGUAAUAGCUCACUAGUCGAGUCGGCCUGCGCGGAAGAUGUAACGGGGCUCAAACCAGGCACCGAAGCCGCGGAUUCACGCUAAGCGUGAGUGGUAGGGGAGCGUUCUGUAAGUCUGCGAAGGUGUGUCGAGAGGCAUGCUGGAGAUAUCAGAAGUGCGAAUGCUGACGUAAGUAACGAUAAAGGGGGUGAAAAGCCUCCUCGCCGGAAGACCAAGGGUUCCUGUCCAACGUUAAUCGGGGCAGGGUGAGUCGACCCCUAAGGUGAGGCCGAAAGGCGUAAUCGAUGGGAAGCAGGUUAAUAUUCCUGCACGACUUGUAAUUGCGAUGGGGGGACGGAGAAGGCUAGGUGGGCCAGGCGACGGUUGUCCUGGUGAAAGUGCGUAGGUGGUGUUUCUAGGCAAAUCCGGAGACACAACACUGAGACACGAGACGAACACACUACGGUGUGGAAGCCAUUGAUGCCCUGCUUCCAGGAAAAGCCUCUAAGCUUCAGAUUACAAGUCAUCGUACCCCAAACCGACACAGGUGGUCGGGUAGAGAAUACCAAGGCGCUUGAGAGAACUCGGGUGAAGGAACUAGGCAAAAUAGUACCGUAACUUCGGGNCAGGGUGAGUCGACCCCUAAGGCGAGGCCGAAAGGCGUAGUCGAUGGGAAGCAGGUUAAUAUUCCUGCACGACUUGUAAUUGCGAUGGGGGGACGGAGAAGGCUAGGUGGGCCAGGCGACGGUUGUCCUGGUGAAAGUGCGUAGGUGGUGUUUCUAGGCAAAUCCGGAGACACAACACUGAGACACGAGACGAACACACUACGGUGUGGAAGCCAUUGAUGCCCUGCUUCCAGGAAAAGCCUCUAAGCUUCAGAUUACAAGUCAUCGUACCCCAAACCGACACAGGUGGUCGGGUAGAGAAUACCAAGGCGCUUGAGAGAACUCGGGUGAAGGAACUAGGCAAAAUAGUACCGUAACUUCGGGAGAAGGUACGCUCUUGUUGGUGAAGUCCCUUGCGGAUGGAGCUGACGGGAGUCGCAGUGACCAGAUGGCUGGGACUGUUUAUCAAAAACACAGCACUCUGCAAACACGAAAGUGGACGUAUAGGGUGUGACACCUGCCCGGUGCCGGAAGGUUAAUUGAUGGGGUUAGCGCAAGCGAAGCUCUUGAUCGAAGCCCCGGUAAACGGCGGCCGUAACUAUAACGGUCCUAAGGUAGCGAAAUUCCUUGUCGGGUAAGUUCCGACCUGCACGAAUGGUGUAACCAUGGCCAUGCUGUCUCCACCCGAGACUCAGUGAAAUCGAAUUCGCCGUGAAGAUGCGGUGUACCCGCGGCUAGACGGAAAGACCCCGUGAACCUUUACUACAGCUUGGCACUGAACAUUGAACCUACAUGUGUAGGAUAGGUGGGAGGCUUUGAAGGCGUGACGCCAGUUGCGCUGGAGCCGUCCUUGAAAUACCACCCUUGUAUGUUUGAUGUUCUAACGCAGGGCCCUGAAUCGGGCUCGCGGACAGUGCCUGGUGGGUAGUUUGACUGGGGCGGUCUCCUCCCAAAGAGUAACGGAGGAGCACGAAGGUUGGCUAAUCCUGGUCGGACAUCAGGAGGUUAGUGCAAUGGCAUAAGCCAGCUUAACUGCGAGACGGACAGGUCGAGCAGGUACGAAAGUAGGUCAUAGUGAUCCGGUGGUUCUGAAUGGAAGGGCCAUCGCUCAACGGAUAAAAGGUACUCCGGGGAUAACAGGCUGAUACCGCCCAAGAGUUCAUAUCGACGGCGGUGUUUGGCACCUCGAUGUCGGCUCAUCACAUCCUGGGGCUGAAGUCGGUCCCAAGGGUAUGGCUGUUCGCCAUUUAAAGUGGUACGCGAGCUGGGUUCAGAACGUCGUGAGACAGUUCGGUCCCUAUCUGCCGUGGGCGUUGGAUGAUUGAAGGGAGUUGCUCCUAGUACGAGAGGACCGGAGUGAACGAACCUCUGGUGUUCGGGUUGUCACGCCAGUGGCACUGCCCGGUAGCUAAGUUCGGAAUCGAUAACCGCUGAAAGCAUCUAAGCGGGAAGCGAGCCCUGAGAUGAGUCAUCCCUGACCCCUUGAGGGUCCUAAAGGGCCGUUGGAGACCACAACGUUGAUAGGUGGGGUGUGUAAGCGCGGCGACGUGUUGAGCUAACCCAUACUAAUUACCCGUGAGGCUUAACCAUACAACACCCAAGAAGUGUUC
rnacentral:rRNA from 1 species